GACGGAGGAUGCAAGUGUUAUCCGGAAUCACUGGGCGUAAAGCGUCUGUAGGUUGUUUAAAAAGUCUGCAGUUAAAGGUUGAAGCUUAACUUCAAAAAUGCCGUAGAAACUUUUAAACUAGAGGAUGGUAGGGGUAGAGGGAAUUUCCAGUGGAGCGGUGAAAUGUGUAGAUAUGGAAAGACCACCGAUGGCGAAGGCACUCUACUGGGCCAUGACUGACACUGAGAGACGAAAGCUAGGGGAGCAAACAGGA
rnacentral:rRNA from 1 species